rnacentral:rRNA from 1 species
CCUACGGGUGGCAGCAGUAGGGAAUCUUCCACAAUGGGCGAAAGCCUGAUGGAGCAACGCCGCGUGGGUGAAGAAGGUCUUCGGAUCGUAAAACCCUGUUGGUAGAGAAGAAAGUGCGGGAGAGUAACUGUUCACGUGUCGACGGUAUCUAACCAGAAAGCCACGGCUAACUACGUGCCAGCAGCCGCGGUAAUACGUAGGUGGCAAGCGUUAGCCGGAUUUAUUGGGCGUAAAGGGAACGCAGGCGGUCUUUUAAGUCUGAUGUGAAAGCCUUCGGCUUAACCGGAGUAGUGCAUUGGAAACUGGGAGCCUUGAGUGCAGCAGAGGAGAGUGGAACUCCAUGUGUAGCGGUGAAAUGCGUAGAUAUCUGGCAGAACCCCAGUGGCGAACGCGGCUCUCUGGUCUGUAUCUGACGCUGCGGUUCGAAAGCGUGGGUAGCAAACAGGAUUAGAUACCCGUGUAGUC